rnacentral:rRNA from 1 species
AGGUCUUGGGAUAUUUGGAUUAAGCGUCCUUGGGUUUGAAUAGUACUGGGCUGGGUGACCUCCUGGGAAGUCUAAACUUAGGAGCUU